rnacentral:rRNA from 1 species
UACAGAGGGGGCAAGCGUUGUUCGGAAUUACUGGGCGUAAAGGGCGCGUAGGCGGCCUUCUAAGUCGAACGUGAAAUCCCCGGGCUCAACCCGGGAACUGCGUCCGAUACUGGAAGGCUUGAAUUCGGGAGAGGGAUGCGGAAUUCCAGGUGUAGCGGUGAAAUGCGUAGAUAUCUGGAGGAACACCGGUGGCGAAGGCGGCAUCCUGGACCGGUAUUGACGCUGAGGCGCGAAAGCCAGGGGAGCAAACGGG